UGUUCCUGAGACCACUGUCUUCCGAUGGCUCACUUGUCACAGGCAGUCUAGAGGGUUAGAGAUGACCUCUCCCCUCUGAAAGCUGUCAGACGCUGUGUGUUUUCCUAAGUGUAGAGCCAGGUAACCCAGAAGUGCCGCCAACAUACCUCUUUGGGAGAGAGGAUCUGCCAGUGUGCAGAAGAAGCCCGAUGCAAUGGAAAGAAAGAUAUCCAGGGUGGAUGGCAGAUGAAAGCAGGCCUGAGAUGAGGCUAAAAGGGCCAACAAGAGCCAGGAGGUGGAGCAACAUGGCCUUUAGUGUCUGGCAAGGAUCUCAGGAUAGCAGCUUAGUACUUUGUGAAGCUAUGGAGCACGUGACUCACCCACCUAAUACAGCUCAGAACUGAUUGCCUUCCUACAACCCAUUAGCAGAUCUUGAACAUCAGUUCGCUUGGUAGCAGACAGUGUUUUAAAGAAGAUGGAAUAAAGUAAUAAAGUAUGGU